rnacentral:tRNA from 1 species
GAGGUACUAAUUAAAGCAUAAUAUUACCUUGUCAAGGUAAAUUUACAAGUGAGACCCUUGUGUCCCUCU